GCGUGGACCCUGGACUUGUGCUCCUAUGUCAUUUAUCCCAGCUGUUCCCGGUUUCCCCUUCUGAGCCAGGUAUCUUGGCCUCCUCGGUGGCCACAGCUUUCUGCUAAGCCUCGGUCUUCUUCCCGGCAGGAGAGACCUUUGACCCAUGUGCGUCCUGAUCCGUGGCCAGGAGCGUACCCAGUACGGCGGUGCGCCACUCCGGAGGCCUGACCCAGACAUCAGUGCUCCACGGGAAUGCUGCAAAGACCCGGGGCUCUGAAAAGAUGGCCAUGCUAAUUCCUCUGUUGGUGUUUACCCAAGACAUGAAGACCAGAACAGGAAGAGACACUCGUGGGCUAUUCAUAAUCAACCAACUCAAUCCGUGAAUGGCAAAGUUGAUGAUGGUAAUUUUCCCUCAGAAACUGUCCCUCAGAAUGAAAAGUAGCCCAUGAUGAAUGUGGCCCUCUAAGCACAUCUCAGAAGCACAAUGCCAAGGGAAAGAAACUCCUUAAAUGACAUCAUGGGGUUGGCAGGAGAAUAGAAACAGAAAUCAGACCCGUGGUUGUCAGAGAUGGAAACACUGAAUGGGAUUUGUUUGCAAAGCGUCUCAAAGAACUUUGUGGAAAGAACAGCCAUGGUCUAAGCUGUAAUACUGGUCAAAGCUUGUUUCAUGGUACUCAAAGAAGAUGAACUUAAGGAUUUAAAUACUUCUCAGUAAGCUUGAGUUAAAAGGGGUGUGAAGUCCUCAAAUAAUUAAACAUAGACUUGGAUGAUUCAGCCCACUUCUAGGCACAUAACAGAGAGGAUGGAAAGCAGGUCUGUAUGCCAAAUGCACAUGACACAGUUCUCACGGGCACUAAAAGGUUGGGCCCAGCCCAGAAGGCACCAAUCAACAGGUGCAUGGAUACAGCAAAUGUGACAGGUACUGACUUUUUCAAGUAAUGGGACGAGUUAAGAAGAGAGAUCUGCUAAAAGGCUGCAUCCUCCCAUCUAGCAAGGCCUCCUAGACCUUAGGCUUUGCUGCAAUGGCAAAGAUAAAUGUGAUGAAGACGGGGGCUGGAGAGAUGGCUCAGUGGUUACGAGCACUAGCUGCUCUUCCAUCUGUAAUGGAAUCUGAUGCUCUCUUCUGGUGUGUCUGAAGACAUCGAGAGUGUACUCAUACACAAAAUAAACAAAUCUUCAAAAAAAAAAAUGUGAUGAAGACACAAUAUCCUGUGACUAGGUGUGAAUGUCCUUGUCCCAAGCUCCUCCCAUACAAAGGACCACCCUACUUGUCUCUUCAGGUUGCCCCACCUGUCUCCUUUUAGCCAGAUGGGUGAUUCUGCUUUUCUACCAUUAUAAUCAGCAUUCUCUGAUAGGAAUCUUCUAGAGAAGGGAGGCUUAGAGCAUGCAUAUGCACACACACACACACACACACACACACACACACACACACACACACACGAGUUUAUUCUAGAGAAUUGGUUCAUAGAGCCAUGGAGGCUAACAUGCCCCAUAUUCUGCAGUUCUCUGGCUGGAAACCCAGGAGAGAUAAUGGUGUAAUUCUAGUUGGAAACUAGCAGACCUGAGACCCAGUGAAACCCAGUGUUUCUCUUUGACUCCAAAAGGAGAAGAGAAGCCAUUGUGAAGAUCACAAGGCAGAAGGAGCGCCUUCUUGCUCGUGGAAGUAUCACUCUUCAUUGUCUGUUGAAGACUUCUGGACUGACUGGAGGAGGCCGGUCCUCACUUAGGAGGUCUUUUUCCUUCAAUCACUCUACCAACUUAAAUAUUGAUCUCACCCAGAACAUCUCACAUGCAAAUCCAGAAUCGGUCCACUUAAGCUGACACAUAAACUUGUUGUGUUGGGUAAUUUUAUGUCAACUUGACACAAGCUAGAAUUAUCUGAGAAGCAACCACAAUUGAGGAAAUGCCUCCAUAGAUUGGCCUGUAGGUAAGUCUGUGGGGCAUUGUCUCAAUUAACGAUUGACGUAGGAGUGGCCAGCCUACAGGGGAUGCUGCUGCCCUUGGGCAAGUGAUCCCCAGUCCUAUAAGAAAGUAGCCCAAGCGAGCUGGCUAGCAAACGGAUUAAUGUUCACAUGGCUUCUGCUCCCAUUCCUGCCUCCAAGUUCCUAUCCUGGCUUCCUUCAGUGAUGGACUUAUACACUCUAAGGUGAAAUAAACUCUUUCCUUCUC
ensembl:lincRNA 1700112J16Rik RIKEN cDNA 1700112J16 gene